rnacentral:hammerhead_ribozyme from 1 species
AUCAUCUGACGAGUCCGAAAUAGGACAAAACGCACGUCUAUGAU